rnacentral:rRNA from 1 species
UACGUAGGGGGCUAGCGUUGUCCGGAAUCAUUGGGCGUAGAGAGCGUGUAGGCGGCUCGGUAAGUCCGCUGUGAAAGUCCAGGGCUCAACCCUGGAAUGCCGGUGGAAACUGUCGAGCUAGAGUCCGGAAGAGGCGAGUGGAAUUCCUGGUGUAGCGGUGAAAUGCGCAGAUAUCAGGAGGAACACCAAUGGCGAAGGCAGCUCGCUGGGACGGUACUGACGCUGAGGCGCGAAAGCCAGGGGAGCGAACGGG